GAUGAACGCUAGCUACAGGCUUAACACAUGCAAGUCGAGGGGUAACAAGAGGAAAGCUUGCUUUCCUUGUUGACGACCGGCGCACGGGUGAGUAACGCGAAUCCAACCUGCCUAUAACUAGGGAAUAACCUUGCGAAAGUAAGACUAAUACCCUAUGAUUUCCUUUGAUGACAUCAGAUUAGGAAUAAAGAUUUAUCGGUUAUAGAUGGGGAUGCGUCUGAUUAGCUUGUUGGCGGGGUAACGGCCCACCAAGGCAACGAUCAGUAGGGGUUCUGAGAGGAAGGUCCCCCACAUUGGAACUGAGACACGGUCCAAACUCCUACGGGAGGCAGCAGUGAGGAAUAUUGGUCAAUGGGCGGAAGCCUGAACCAGCCAAGUAGCGUGCAGGAUGACGGCCCUAUGGGUUGUAAACUGCUUUUAUACAGGAAUAAAGUUAGCCACGUGUGGUUAUUUGUAGGUACUGUAUGAAUAAGGACCGGCUAAUUCCGUGCCAGCCGCCGCGGUAACAC
rnacentral:rRNA from 1 species